CAUCUCUCGCAUAAUUUUUAUGACACCAAUAAACAAAACAGGAGUAGAGUUUUGCAACCGAACAUGGUUUCGGUUACGUCCUGUAGUGCUUCUGGUUUUCUGGCCAUUAUGAAAAUAUAUGGCGACGUGGCGUAGAAAGUGUCAAGAUCGAAGUCCUAUUCAUCACACUGAACUAGAUGAUGAAUUGCAUGUUCCGGUGGACAUAAACUGGCGUCAAACAACUGCGCAAUGUUGUGCCUGAAAUGCGCUUCCGACGAGUGGCUACAUUAUUCGGUCAGCGGUCAUCCUGACGUGGGAGCGACAAUAGAAGACAAUUGUGUAAAUGGAUUUAAAUAAAUAAUGAAAUUAAAAAGAA